rnacentral:misc_RNA from 1 species
UACGUAGGCAGCGAGCGUUGUUCGGAGUUACUGGGCGUAAAGGGUGCGUAGGCGGCCGAUUAAGUUUGUCGUGAAAUCUCCCGGCUUAACUGGGAGGGUGCGGCGGAUACUGACCGGCUCGAGUGUGGGAGAGGAGAGUGGAAUUCCUGGUGUAGCGGUGAAAUGCGUAGAUAUCAGGAGGAACACCGGCGGUGUAGACGGCUCUCUGGACCAUAACUGACGCUGAGGCACGAAAGCGUGGGUAGCAAACAGG